rnacentral:rRNA from 1 species
UCAGUAGCGGCGAGCGAACAGGGAGAAGCCCAGCAUCGAAUCCCCCGCCCUGGCAGGGCGGAGGGACAUGUGAUGUUUGGGAGGGCCUUUGCGACGGCUGUCAGGCCGCCGUCCCUCGGGGCGGCGGUUAGGGGUGCCUAAGUCUCUCAUGAUUGGGGCCAUCGCCCAUAGCGGGUGUCAGGCCUUUGUGGCGCCCCCGGCCGUGUGCUCUGCGUCCCUCCUCGGAGUCGGGUUGUUUGUGAAUGCAGCCCAAAGCGGGUGGUAAACUCCACCUAAGGCUAAAUACUGGUGCAAGGCCGAUAGCGAACAAGUACCGCGAGGGAAAGUUGAAAAGAACUUUGAAGAGAGAGUUCAAGAGUACGUGAAACCGCUUAGAGUCAAGCGGAUGGGACCGCAAAUCGGUCGGCCCGUGGGAUUCAUCCCGCCGGUGAUGUCCAUUCUAUAUAGGGUUCGGACUACAUAUCACUCGGCGGGUGCACUUUCCGCGGGCCGAGCGCCGCAACCGGUUCGCUGGCAGUCAGAAGCCUGCGGGGGAAGGUGGCCUGCCGUUGCCUCGUGCGGCGGUGGGUGUUAUAGCCCCUGCAUGUGCCGGCCUGCCACGCGGACCGAGGAGAGGGCCCGUUGAAGGGUUCGGCCCACGCCGGGCUCCGGCUCCGGCCGCUCGUUACAACUGGGGGGGACUGCUUCGGCAGUGCCUUUCCGACUGCGGGCGGUCGAGGGACCGGGGUCACGCACCGGCGGGGUCCGCCCCUCCCGUUCGCGGGGGGGGAAGCCCGGGUUAGCGGCGAUGUGUCAGUCGGCACCCCAUCCGACCCGUCUUGAAACACGGACCAAGGAGUCUAACGUGCGCGCGAGUCAUUGGGCUUGCACGAAACCCACAGGCGCAAGGAAACUGAAAGGGGGACUCGUCCUCCAUAGGCGAGAUCCCGGCCCUCCGGGUCGGGCGCACCGCCGGCCCUCCUGAGCCUA